rnacentral:rRNA from 1 species
UACCUGCAGCUCGAGUGGUGAUCAUUAUUAUUGGGCCUAAAACGUCCGUAGCCGGUUUAGUAAAUGCCUGGGUAAAUCGUGUAGCUUAACUAUACGACUUCCGGGUAGACUGCUAAACUUGAGACCGGGAGAGGCUAGAGGUACUCCUGGGGUAGAGGUGAAAUUCUGUAAUCCUAGGGGGACCACCAGUGGCGAAGGCGUCUAGCUAGAACGGGUCUGACGGUGAGGGACGAAGCCCUGGGGCACAAACCGGAUUAGAUACCCCGGUAGUCCAGGGUGUAAACGCUGCUUGCUUGAUGUUAGUUGGGCUCCGAGCCCAACUAGUGUCGGAGAGAAGUUGUUAAGCAAGCUGCCUGGGAAGUACGGUCGCAAGGCUGAAACUUAAAGGAAUUGGCGGGGGAGCACAGCAACGGGUGGAGCGUGCGGUUU